CUGCCCAGUGAUUUUUUUUCAACGGCCGCGGUAUCCUAACCGUGCAAAGGUAGCAUAAUCACUUGCCUAUUAAUUGUAGGCUAGAAUGAACGGAUAAACGAAAUAAAGACUGUCUCUAUCAAUAAAAUAAAAAUUAAUCUCUACAUGAAGAAGUGUAGAUAUAUUCGAAGGACAAGAAGACCCUAUAGAGCUUUAUUUAAAAACACAUUAGUAUAGUGUUAUAUAAUUCGGUUGGGGCGACCUAGGGAGUAAAAUAUCACCCUAUAAUAUAAAGAUAAAUUUAUCUAAUUAAUGACCCUAAAAAGAUCAAAAAAUCAAGUUACCUUAGGGAUAACAGGCUAAUCCUAUUAAAGAGUUCAUAUCGAUAAUAGGGUUUGGCACCUCGAUGUUGGCUUAGGGAAUCUAUAUAGCGCAAAAGUUAUAUAAAGAUGGUUUGUUCAACCAAUAAUUCCCU
rnacentral:rRNA from 1 species